UUGAAUAGAGUCUUUUGAAUUAAUAUUAACAAAGGUGUUGAGGCUAAGUCUUAACUUAACAGUACUAAUUAUUUCCUCUAAUUGCCUUGCUCUCAGGGUGCGUGCUUGGAAAAGAUAAAACUUACUUAAAUUCUUUUUUUGGGGGGGGGGCGGCAUUACAGGUAGGCUCAGAAAGGCCCACCUCAGUGUUUUCCUAUAAACAUAAGCACAAAGCUUAAAUCUGUAGUCCUGUGUUUAUUGAGCUCUAGUUCUAAAAACAUGCUAAAAAGAAUCAUAGAAAUCCUCGGUCUAAUCAAAGUGGCUCGUCGCAAGCUGUACAGCGCUUCCCUGUUUCACAGUGCCGUGGCUGGUGAACCUAAGCAUAGAUCAGUAGAUGCUCACCGUGCUUUCCCCUGAACGUACAUUUCUCCCUUCGCCCUCUCUUCCAACAAGAACUCGUUAUUAUGCAUGAGUAGCAUUGUAGCCAUCUUAAAGUCUCAGUGGAGUAUGAGAGGAAACGUGCCAGUAAGAUUUAUUAACGAGCAGAAACACUGAAGGGCAUGAGCUGCUCACUGAAUGAGUGGUGACUAACUCAGGAAAUGAGCAAAGCAGAAUCAUUACGUUAAUGCCUGCAGUAUAGUGUCUUGUACAAUACACAGCCUGAAGUGUGUGGAAACCCCUCUUAUUAAUUGAGUUCAGAUGUUUCCGCCAUACCAAUAGCUGAUGGUUGUCUAAAAUCCAAGCGCAUAGUCUUGCAGUCGCCAUAGACAAACAUUGGCAGUAGAAUGGAUUGUAAUGGAGAGCUUACUGACUCUAAACCUGGCACUCUCCUAGGAUGCUGUAAGUCCAUGAAAUGCAUGCACAGCCAGAUCUACGUAGGUCAACUGUAAGCUGUUAUUGUGAAAUGGAAGCGUCUAGAGCACAACAGCUCAGUCAUGAAGUUGUGGACCACUUACCAAGCUGCUGGGUGCUGAAGUGUAAACAUUACUGUACAAAUACUGUGUUGCAUCACUCGCUGGCUGGCUGGCUGGCUGGCUGGCUGUGGAAGCAACAUGAGCACAAAGAUUCAUGAGGGCUUUGUGUCCAGAGCUGAGCAACUGCAUGCAAGUCUAAGCUUGCUAUCCAUAAUGGACUCUGGAGCCAAAGUGUGUGCUCUGGCGUGAUGUAUCUGGCAUCUGGCUGACUCUGGCUGCAUCUGGCUGUUUGGCAGCUACUAGCAGAAUGGUACCUACUGCAAUGCAUACUGUUAACUGUAAAGUUUGGUGGAAGGACAAUGGUCUGUUUGUUUGUUUGUUUUUGGUUCCAGGGUUUGGGUCCCUUAGUUAAAGUGAAGAAUAAUGUUAAUGCUACUGCAUACAGACAUUUUAGACAAUUAUAUACUUCCGAUUUUGUGGAGAGAGUUUGGGGAAGGCUCUUUUCUGUUCUAGCAUGACUGUUCCCCUGUGCACAAGACGAUGUAAAUAAAACAUACGGUUUGGUGUGGAGGAACUCUAGUGGCCUGCACAGAGCCCUGACCUCAAGCCUACAAAAGUCUUUUGGGUUGAAUUGGAAUGUGGCUUGCAAGCCAGGCCCUCUCAUCCAUAUACAUUUGGCCAUAUAGUGUGCAUUUACAUUUUCAUCUUUUGGCAGUUGCUUUUAUCAAGAAUCUUAUCCAAAGCAACUUGCAUAUUUAUGAGCGUGACAGUAUGUGUUCCUUCCUGAGGAUCCUUGACCUGGUGGUGGUGGUGGUGGUGUUAGAUGUCCCGAUCCCAUCUUAAAGAUCGUAUUGUUGCAGAUCAAGGCAUUUUUUAAACUGGUCGAUAUCGGCUUUAUUGAGCACGAACCCAAGCCCGCUCCUUUGUUUGCGCUCAUACGGGUGUGGUAAACGGAGAACAGGCCGCGCCUAAACUGUCUGCAGUGUGGGGAUACUUUAAAAUGGAGAAUAAAACAAGUGCAACAGAUGUUUGGUCACUUCUGCAAUGCAAGCAUUUCGCAAGGCAGUAGUAACAGAUCUAUGGACAAUACUACCAAUUUGAUACGCCACCAAAAAGUAAACACUCGGCGGAAUACAGUGAGUUUAGUCAGGUUAGCCAGGCAAAGGCUGCACCGAAGUAACACACACUAGAGCAAACAUUUUUAAAGAGGGGAUUUUUUUGGUAGAAAAUGCGGGUUUUCGUCGCCUUUUGGAGCCACGCUACGUCCUACCCUCUCGACACGGCUCUAGCGAAGCUUUACGACAAGGUCCGCGAACACAUACGAGGUCUUUUAGCAGAUGUGACUGCCGUGGGCUUUCCCACAGAUAUUUGGGCUUCUGAUGUUUAACCGAGGUCUUUACGUGGUCUCGCGGCUCACUGGAUCGACUCCACGCGCGGAAGUUCCGCGAGCCUCGCACAGCAGAGCGUGUAAAACGAGCCCGCGAGGAGAUGUUGAACACUUGGGAAGCGGACGAGCAACGGGUCCGUGUCGUUAUUUGGCACAAUGCGAGAAAUAUGAAAAAGCAGUGCACUAUUGUCAAGCAUAUGCAUUGGAUUGAUUUUAAUAACUAAUGUACUUGAAGUACAAGUGGACUGAGACUCAAUAUCGGAAGAUACUCAACAUUAAAUUACUCUGAUCGGAUCCGGACGUCCCUAAUAUAACUACUUAGAAUCUCACGGUGUUUAUAUGUGAAGUAAACUUUAAACGCAUACAUGCCCUGCAAUCUGUGGCCUAAUUACAAGAAAUAUGUGGAACUGGAACUUAAUAUUUGUUUAUACUACGUUUGAAUGUUGUAUGGUCUGAUAUGCUGUGUGUUGUGAUAGUUAUGGUAGAAACUUGGCUUUGCUAGUGGUAAAAUCCAGUUGAGUGGGCUGAGUGGAUUAUGAGGCCUUUGAGGUCUAACACCCAUAAAUGUAUUAUGUCUUUGCAUUUUGGCAGUAGGAGAAAUCUGAUGCGCACUCCGGACCUGAGUGAAUACCCUAAACAAAUCAUUACUGCUCUGUGGCUUUGUGGCAUCUAGUACUGCACACAUGAGCCACAUUUGCAGUUUAUAAAUAGAUUCCCAUCAAAACAUUAAAGAAGUGCAAGCCAUUAACUGGUAAUUAAGACCCACUCUCAGGAGACUCACUCUUGCUCUGUAGGCCUGGCAGUUCCCAUGUUCUUUCCUGCAGAUUUUAUAUGGACAAUCCAAAUUGGGUUGGUCGUGACAUCAGUCACUGACACUUGGUCACCUCCACAGAACAGCUUUACCUUGGUAUGGCACAAACCCCAUGUUUACUUGCGCGUUUUCUAAACCCAGCAAAGUGCUCCAUUCAUAUCAUGGGCAUUUUAGCCACUUAGCAUUGUUUAACUGUGUCCCAUAUCACUUCAUGUAAUCAAGUUGAAUGAGUUUAGUUAAAGAACAGAAUCAUGAAUGAAUGUCGGUUGAGAAGCAGAUAUAAACUGAUCUCCAGAGUUGGUUUCCGUUCUACAGCGGACUGUAUUUGCAUGAUUGAAGCCCACAGUGUCAUGUAUCUGAGCAGCAUAUGGCCGUCCAUAUGGCACAUGUGGCAGUCGCUGUGCAGAUGUGUUCCUACACAAACGUGCUUUUACAUGUGAUGCGGCGUGCAUUUAAAAUGUUGCCCAAGAGUGUAUACACUCUGCCAAAGCUGGAUUUUCACCAUGCCACCGUUCCACUGUGUCUCUUUGGAAGGUUCAGGCACGAUUGGCCAGACAGACCGACGUCAGAAGGCGGAGAAAAGGCUUCUCCAUCCCAGACUUGAGAAUGACGGCUGUUCAGCAUGCAUGGUCUUAAUCAGUAAAUACGUAGUUUCAUAAGGCUAUUUGUUGAUUUAUGGUGAUUAAUCUUCCUUUCUUAAAACCAAAGAUAUAUUAAAAAGGUGGCGUGUCUUUCUGAGCAAGCUGUGUUAAGCUAUUAAUUUCUCUCCAUAUGUCUUGACUGCUGGCUCUCUCUGACACAUUCUUACUGUCCCCUUUUAAAUGUCCCUAUCUAAAUGCAAAGGCUUCCAGGAGCCUCCUGAGUGUUGCGUCACAUUGCUCUUGUGUUUUUGCCCUUCCCAUUCAUGUACUGAGGUGAUGUAUCCUAACCAAGAACCAGUUAUGCUUUGUGUCUUAUUGGAGAGAAGUGUGUCGAGCCAGAGUUAAUUCGCAGUCUUGUUGCAGCAGUGCUGUGUAGGUGGUGUCGGUCAUACUGAUGUGGGGGGAUUGUGGCUGGGUGGCUGUAUUUUGUUUGUGUAGGAGAACGCGCAGCACGCUCGGCAUCUCCUCACAAAGCUGAGCGUUGACAGGAGUUAGAUGAAAGAGUUGGGUGGGACCACCAAAAGCUCUAUCUUCCACUCCAGUACCUCUACCAGGCUCAGAAGUGGAAGUGGAGGGACAGGACUGCCCCAGUGCCCUGUGGCUUUUCUCUGUGUGGGAAGUCAUCACACACUGAGAUAAGAGGCUUGCUUGACCUCUUCUUCCCAUCUGACCCAAUUUAUCAUUCUCGGAUAAAACACAGCAAACCUGAAUAAAGGCCUUGUCGCUUCGCUGCCGUGUGUGUGUGUUUGUGUUAUAUACUUUCUCUUUGCACAGUUUAUAUCCUUUCCCCUCCCUUUAUCCUUUGCUUUCCACCUUUUAAAAGUGCUUGACAAGUCUACCCAUUUCUCCCAGAUUGGUGUGUUUGCCUGCAGUGUCUCAACUACAAAAGCCACACAUUCACACUUCAGGUUUCAACACAUUCUACAGGCUUGACAGGUGCACACACACUAAAUAUAUGAUUCGAUAAGCAUGCUGCAGCCUAUGUGUAACUUGUGUUGCUACCACAGAGUAGAGGACCAGGCAAAAGCAGUACUUUCAGUUCACAAGCAGUACAGCAGCUGAAAUGGCCGAACAUGGGCAGAACUGUGCGGAAGACUGGGAAGGAUGGCUGGGCCCCCCUUUCGCUUGUCUCCUAAAUGACACGCCUGGUCCAGAAGGUGGACAAGCGGCUGCCAGUCGCGAAUGAGUACCUGCUGUUGUCAGGCGGCGCCCGGGAGGGCGUCGUGGACCUGAACCCUGAGGACCUGGGCGACUACGCUCGGGGUGUGGAUUUCGACCUUGACUUCACUCUGCUGGUGCCUGCCCUCAAGCUGCAUGACCGCAACCAGCCCGUGACCCUGGACAUGCGCCAGUCUCCACCGUGUCACUCCUGGCUCAGUCUGCGUCUGUGCGACCCCACCAUGCUCGCCCGCUGGGCCAUCUGCUGCGAGGACGAGGUCGGUGGGAGGCAGGGAGAAGACAAGGAUGAGGAUGAAGAGGGCAGUUCUGUGCUUGGGGCGAUCCCGCCGUCCCUGCAUGCCUCGCAGUCCUUGGACGGAUGCUACUUCUCGCCACUGCUUGUUGCGGAUUGGUUCUGGAACGUGGUGGGCGUGGCCGUGGAGGAGCUCCGGCGGAACCCCCAGAGGGGAAUCCCCGUUCCGGAUCGCGUGGAGCGCAACGGCCCCUUGACCACACUGAUCCUCAAGGCGGGCACCAGUCGCGUGCUCUACGACCUCCUGCCCGUGGUGUCGUUCCGCGGCUGGCCGGCGGUCGCGCAGAGCUGGCUCACCACCAACCAUUUCUGGGAUGGGAAGAUCACCGAGGAGGAAGCUAUCAGCGGCUUCUACCUGCUGCCGUGCUGCUCGCUGGCAGCCGGCGUUCCAUCCAGACCCGACCGCGAGUGGAGGCUGGCCUUUUCCCGGAGCGAGGUCCAGCUGAAGAAAUGCGUCCCCUACCCUAUGGCCGCUGCCUUCCAGGCUGCCAGGGCCGUGCUGUCCAGGCUGCUUGCGCGGCCGCGGAGCAGCCUGAGCCUCUACCACCUCCGCACGCUUCUCUUCUGGGCCUGCGAUCGCCUGCCUGCAGCCUACGUGAGCUGCCCCGACCAGGAGAUGCCCGCCCGCCUGUUCCUGGGCCUCCUGGAUGAGCUGGCACACUCCGCGCUGGGGAAAAACUGCCCCAACUACUUCCUCCCUCAGUGCAACAUGCUGGAGCACCUCACCGACGGUGCUGCCCUGCUGGUGGCCCGAAAGCUGGCGCACCUGCGCUCGGACCCGGCCGAACACCUGCGGGUGGCUCUGGAGCAGGCGCGGCAGGCGUGCGAGCUGAAACAAAAAGCGGCUGGGGCGAGUAACGGGCACGGGGCAUGGUCACCUGGCAGCGCCCCCUCCGGGGCUGCCUCGCCCCAGGACGAGCGGCUAGCCCAGAGGCUGCAGCAGCUGGUCACAGAAAACCCCGGCAAGUCCAUCUCCGUCUUCCUCAACCCUGACGACGUCACGAGGCCACACUUCCGCAUCGACGACAAGUUCUACUAGGAGGGUGGAGCCACGCCAUAAACACUACACAGAGCCAUGCCUUCUCUUCCUUCUUUAGCCACAGAGCUAAUGCUUACGCUAACCUUUUAAAAGCUGAGAGUACGCGUGCACACACACACACACACACACACACACACACACACACACACACACACACUCCUCCGCUGAGCUGAAGUGUCAGACUGAAUAACCCUGCAAGCUGGGUGCGAUUGGUGAUGUCUUUUUGCCAGCGCUACAAUCUGUAAGACAGCUCUGCAAAAUAUGAUUAAAGCUGCUACUGCAGAGACCAUCUGAGCCCCAUCAGGCCCCUCUGUCAGCUCCAUGGCUCUGCUACCAAAAGGAAAAAGAUUAAUCAUCAUAAAUCGCCAAACGGAGGGAGAGGCGAGCAGCUGGGAGACAUUGGAGCUGCGUUUGGGGCUGGAAUGCUGAUGGCUGGUGGACGGUCUGGACGUGUGUUGCUUUGAGACCUUACAAAGUCCUGCAACUUGCAGUGGGUCAUGACAGCUUGACUUAUCCAGUGCACCAAUGCUGUAAUUAAGACGUUUUAAUCUUGCUAUCUACAGUCGAGACAGUUUUCUAUUGUCCUUCAUGAGCAAGUGAAGGGGUGAUCUGAAACAAGGUACUUUUUGUUGUUGUUUUGUACUGCUCUGUGAAGAUGAAGGCCUUUCCAGCAUGUACGGCAUUGCCUGUGUGCCUCCCGCGCUCCUGUCAGCCCACAGCACUGAAGAGGCCGCGAGGGCUGGAUGCUAAAUGUUGAGAGGCGAGCGAGGGGAGUCUGUGGCGCCUCUCCCGCCGGGCUGGGCCUUUCUCUCUCUCCUGCACUAUCCAGCCGAGACCGGACCAGACCGAGGCCUGAAGCUCUUAACCGCUAAAACCUCAGUUCUGUUUCUCCCAGCCGUGAUGGGGUCUGCCGCACGUUUACUCGUGGUCCAACCGUUUCCAAUCGGACCAAACUACCUGCGCUGGGAUGGAGCUUCAUGCCACAAUGCUGUCUUUAUCAGGAUCCUGCUAACGUGAGUGAGGUUGACCUAGGCAGAUGGCGCUCGAUGACCCUGUGAUGUCUGCAUGUGUAGAUAUGGUUAAGGAAGUACUUGGCAGACUUGAAGUCUUGUAUUUUGUUUGAUUCCGCUAUUCUGGUGUGUGUUUGGGGGGGAAGAAAAGAGAACAAAAUAAGAAGAAAGGAAAAUUUUUUAUAUAUAUAUAA